UACGUAGGGGGCAAGCGUUGUCCGGAUUUAUUGGGCGUAAAGCGCGCGUAGGCGGCGCGGUAUGUCGUGCGUGAAAUCUCCCGGCUUAACUGGGAGGGGCCGUGCGAAACUGCCGGGCUUGAGGUCGGAAGGGGAAAGUGGAAUUCCGGGUGUAGUGGUGGAAUACGUAGAUAUCCGGAGGAACACCAGCGGCGAAGGCGGCUUCUGGUCCGAUACUGACGCUGAGGUGCGAAAGCGUGGGGAGCGAACGGG
rnacentral:rRNA from 1 species